rnacentral:ncRNA from 1 species
UCUCUUGUUUCAAGUACUCUCAUCAUUUUAUCACUGACCUGGUAGGUAGGGGGUGCGAGCCCUAAGGGGUUCUUGCUUCUGAUACCAUGCACUGUUCUGCUCAUAUGGACGGGUGCAACCUGCUCUGGGGGAAGUGUGAGGUGAGGAGUUUGAUUAGGGAAGUAUACUUGUCGAAUAGUAAUGCAGGUGUCCUAAGGCAAAGCUCAGGGAGGACAGAAACCUCCUGUGGCAAAAGAGCAAAUGCUUGAUCUUGAUUUCAGUAUGAAUACAGACAGUAGGAAAAAAAAGAUCCCUUUUAGGCCAGGGUGAGUCCAGACAAGGCUUCCAAA